GUGCGACGUGAAAGUUGCACCACAGAAGUCCCUUGAAAAAGGGUAAGGUUGAUCCGAAACCUUAUUGCCACUUACUCGGUGCAAGAGGAGUAAUUCUCUUGUGCUAAGCGAGAAUGAAAGCCUAACUAAAGUAUUAAGCUGAAUAAGAAAUAGGGGCAAGGCAAAACUGAAAUGGGUUGAAUAAAGUGAAUCUCCGUUAUUAAAAUGUCGUAAGCAAGUAAAACACGAAAUCAGAUGUGACGUGUUAUGGGGAAGUUUAACGACAGUUAGAAACGGGUAAAGAAGAGUGUUCGUUCUUUACGACGGAUCCCGUUCCCCGGCAUAGAGGAGGCAGCCCACUCAAUGUAUCUUCAUGGUGUGAAACACGGUAACCCCAUUAAUCUUUUAGUGUUGAUGUAAAUACUAAGAGACAGUGGGCAUAAGACGUUCCAAAAAGCGAAGGCAAUCAGCCGAAAGGCAACUGGAAAUCAUAACAGGAUUGAUAGAGGUAAUUACUUUACUCUGAAAAGAGGCUGACGUGGAACGGGUGACUUACCCAUAUAAUCCUUUACCAAGGUUAUGAAUUGAUUUAGAAGAGUUAGAUGCCUAUGGCAAACGUAAUAAAUCAAAACUAUGAACAACAACUGGAAUGGCAUGCUAUUAACUGGCGUGUUGUGACAGCCAUGAUUAAUAAUCUAAGGCAAAGAAUAUAUAGGGCUUCAGCAACAGGUGACUUAAAGAAAGUCAGAAAUCUGCAAAAACUCAUGAUGAAAUCAAGAGCUAACCAUCUUCUGGCUAUCAGGAAAGUCACUCAGGUCAAUCGGGGAAAACACACGGCUGGAGUAGAUAAUCAGGUAAUUAAUGACCAUAAAGGACGAGAACAUCUUUAUAAGUUAUUAAGCCAAACAACUUCAGAAAAGGUUUAUCCAGUAAAACGAGUUUACAUAGCAAAAAAGAAUGGAAAAAAACGCCCUCUUGGGAUCCCAACCAUUCUCGACCGCUGUAGACAAGCGAUAGUUAAAUCGGCGCUGGAACCUUAUUGGGAAGCAAAAUUUGAACCAGUCAGCUACGGAUUUAGACCGGGGCGAAGUGCCCAUGACGCAAUACAAAAAAUUUUCUGUAUUGCCAGAGCACGAGGGACACGGCACUGGGUACUAGAUGCAGAUAUUAAAGGCGCAUUUGACAACAUUGACCAUAAUUUUCUCAUAAAAAAAAUCGGGGGAUUCCCCGAAAGAAACAUGAUUAAACAAUGGUUACAAGCCGGUGUGCUGGAACAUGGCAACUAUAUACCCAAUGUUGCAGGUACUCCGCAAGGCGGGAUUAUCAGUCCACUACUGGCCAAUAUUGCACUCCACGGAAUGGAGACCUUACUGGGUAUUCAAUACUGGAAAAACGGCACGCCAAAACAAGGGCAACCUUAUGCAGUAGUUCGUUAUGCGGAUGAUUUUGUCGUAUUCGGUAAAUCCCGUGAAGAGUGCGAAACUGCCAAAAUAAAGUUGCAAAUUUGGUUAGCUCAGAGAGGGUUAGCUCUUUCUGAAGAAAAAACCAGUAUCAAACACUUGAAGGAAGGAUUCGACUUCCUGGGAUUUAAUAUACGACAUUAUGACAAUCGCCACAGAAAACGGGGAUAUAUAUUGUUAACGAAGCCCUCAAAGGAGUCGAUGAAAAGGUACAAACAGCAAAUGAGAAUGACCUGGAAAGGUAUUAUCGGUAUGCCGACACAAGAAGGAAUAAGACAACUGAAUGCCAAGAUAAUAGGAUGGUGUAAUUACUAUCGUAUUG
rnacentral:autocatalytically_spliced_intron from 1 species